rnacentral:rRNA from 1 species
CCUACGGGUGGCAGCAGUGAGGAAUAUUGGUCAAUGGACGAGAGUCUGAACCAGCCAAGUAGCGUGAAGGAUGACUGCCCUAUGGGUUGUAAACUUCUUUUAUAUGGGAAUAAAACGUUCCACGUGUGGGAUUUUGUAUGUACCAUAUGAAUAAGGAUCGGCUAACUCCGUGCCAGCAGCCGCGGUAAUACGGAGGGACCGAGCGUUAUCCGGAUUUAUUGGGUUUAAAGGGAGCGUAGGUGGAUUGUUAAGUCAGUUGGGAAAGUUUGCGGCUCAACCGUAAAAUUGCAGUUGAAACUGGCAGUCUUGAGUACAGUAGAGGUGGGCGGAAUUCGUGGUGUAGCGGUGAAAUGCUUAGAGAUCACGAAGAACUCCGAUUGCGAAGGCAGCUCACUGGACUGCAACUGACACUGAGGCUCGAAAGUGUGGGUAUCAAACAGGAUUAGAUACCCCGGUAGUC